rnacentral:rRNA from 1 species
UACGAAGGGGGCGAGCGUUGUUCGGAAUCACUGGGCGUAAAGGGCGCGUAGGCGGCCCUCCUUGUCGCGUGUGAAAGCCCCGGGCUCAACCUGGGAACGGCGCGCGAGACGGGGGGGCUGGAGUUCGGGAGAGGAGCGUGGAAUUCCCAGUGUAGAGGUGAAAUUCGUAGAUAUCAGGAGGAACACCGGUGGCGAAGGCGGAUCUCUGGGCCUUACCUGACGCUGAGGCGCGAAAGCUAGGGGAGCAAACAGG